CAGGAUCACCAAGAUCACGAUAUAGUGUCCGCAUUACGAAUUAAUUUCAAGCACAACCACCGGCUAUCAAUACAAGCAUCUGCGAAAGAGGAGACUGGAGAUUGACCUUGUCCAACCUCUCCGCAAUUGUUCCCUCCUUUGCCCGAUGGUGAGACCUCACUUAAGCCCUCAAUCCCUCAUUGGCGAGCCCCCAUUCGCGCCCCAUUGAAGAUAGAAUCAAUUUUGGAUUCUUCGCUCAGGUUAGCAAGCUUGUCAGCAGAGUUGUUUUCUUCCCUCAAGGUGUGACAAACAAGAAAGCUGAAGCUCUCAUUGCACUUAAUUUCUCAGAUAGCUGAAGGAAGCUCAAAGGUGAUGAUGAAGUAUAUGGAGCAAAUAGUGAAUAUGGUUCUGCAUGCUUUCCAAGAUCCUCAUCCUCGAGUUAGAUGGGCAGCUAUGUUCUCAAUUGACUUCUCUCCACAUUUGCAAGUACAAUACCAUUACUUAGUAUUGCCUGCAUUAGCUGCAGCUACUUCAACAUCCUUGAGUGCAGGUCUGACCUAUGGUCGAUAUGACCCCUUUAUGGUUAUUGCGGACUUUCCAAAAUACAAUUGCAACUAUAAAAAACAUAGAUUAUUAUUUGUGAUGACCCGAUAGGUCAUUUUUAGAUUUAGCCUCUAUUUCCGUAUUUCAAGAGCUCGAUUAGCUCCGUUUAGUUUUUUUCGAUUUGUGUGCGUAGUCCGCAUCUCAUUCCGAAAAGUCUUUA